UACGGGGGGGGCAAGCGUUGUUCGGAAUCACUGGGCGUAAAGGGCGCGUAGGCGGGAAUGUAAGUCGGGCGUGAAAUCCCCAGGCUCAACCUGGGAACUGCACUCGAAACUGCGUUUCUUGAGUAUCGGAGAGGAAAGCGGAAUUCCUGGUGUAGAGGUGAAAUUCGUAGAUAUCAGGAGGAACACCAGUGGCGAAGGCGGCUUUCUGGACGGUAACUGACGCUGAGGCGCGAAAGCGUGGGGAGCAAACAGG
rnacentral:rRNA from 1 species